AUGGGUACCUCCCUCUCCAGGCAGGUGCUGCUUGUUCCUGGGGCAGGAGCCAGCAGCCAGCACCACUCGUUGUCCUUCCCACCUGUUCUUCUGACAGAGCGUCCUCCACCCACCCUGGGCCCUGGCAACCAAGAGGGGAAUUCCUGGGACACAAAAGGAAGCAAUCCUAGAAAGCUAAAUAUCCUGGAUUACAAAGGGGAAAUUUGCUUCGCAGGAAAUUCCACAGCCGCCAGAAGUUUAUGCCCGAAAAGGAGGCAGAGGAAUCCUUCAGCUUUAUUCAGACAGAGGGACAGACUCCACCAGGACACACACCUGUGGGGUUUUCUCCCUCCAGGUUUCAGAGGGCGCAGCCUCCUUUUAUCCUGAACUCCCGGCCACAUGUUGCCCUCUUCCUUUCCCCAUGGCUGAGGCACUGGGAAGGCACAGCCUUCCCCAGCCUCCUACCACAAAUUCCCCCCUUGAGCCUGCUGUGUUAGCCCAAAGCUCAUGAUUUCCAGGUUUUUGGUCCAUUUUAAGUCUCUUUUCCUCCACAUAUUUUGCCCACUCACUUUGCCAGUUUUUCCAUCAGCUUUAUUCAGACAGAGGGACAGACUCCACCAGGACACACACCUGUGGGGUUUUCUCCCUCCAGGUUUCAGAGGGCGCAGCCUCCUUUUAUCCUGAACUCCUGGCCACAUGUUGCCCUCUUCCUUUCCCCAUGGCUGAGGCACUGGGAAGGCACAGCCUUCCCCAGCCUCCUACCACAAAUUCCCCCCUUGAGCCUGCUGUGUUAGCCCAAAGCUCAGAACCUCAGGCUGUGCAGUCCCUUGUCUGUGUCAGGAGCCGGGCUCUGCAACAAACCUGCUGCCCAAAGCCAGCAGAGACACUGGGACCCAUAACCCCUUUUAACAACCUGAAACAUCCCUUCCGGACUGUUCCACAGUGAUCCCUGCACCAGGUGUGGCAGGUAACUACAGAGAAUAAAGAGCCAAGGACAGUUCGGAUGAGUCCAUUCAGCACCACAGGGCUGUGGCUGUGGCUGCAGCCUCCCCAGGUCUCCCAUCCUUUCCUUCCAGCCCAGAACUCCAAAACUCUGGGGGGUUCAGAGGCCUUGACCUGCUAUGAGGGGUGCACCCAUGUCCAUCUGUCCUGGCUGCUGUCCCUGCAGGCCUGGCUGGGUGGGAUGGACAGCAAAGUCCAAAUGCAGCAUCUCUGUGCUAACUGGGCUUCCUGUUCAACCCAAAUAACCUCAGGUAACUCCAAGUGACCUCAAGUAACCCCUGCAGGGACUCAAUGACCUCAAGUAACCCCCCCAAAAGCCCCAAGAGACCCCAAAUUACCACAAGUAAGCCCUGUUAGGGUCUCAAUGACCUCAAGUAACUCCCAAGUGAUCCCAGGUAAUCCCUGCAGGGAGUCAAUGUCCUCAAGUAACCCACAACUGACCUCACGUAAUUCCAAAAUGACCUCAAGUAACCCCCUCAGGGACUGAACUGAUGCCUGGCAAGGCUGACCUGGAACAGAGACCAGACAGAGCAAAAGGGAUAAAAUAGGAAUUUAUUGAAAGGAAUCACCUUGGGCAGUGCAGGAACCUGGCUGGGGCUGCACCCAAUUCAAAUCCAGGAGUUUUCACACUUUCAUAAGUUUUAUAAGUUUUGGCUCAUCCACACAUUGGGAUCAAUUGUCCAAGCACAGCCCCAGGCCAUGAAGUCUCAGCCCCUUUCCCUCGCUGUUGUUUAUGGGUUUUGGGUAAUGGUAUCCUUGAUUCUCUGACUGGGAAGGGAUUGCUUUGUCCAACCACUCUGUGUUCACCCUGUGAACUUACUAACACCUAACACAAAGUUUCACAGUUACACACCAAGCAGCAGAGAAUCUGAAAAAUAUAAAACCCAAGGCAUCAUUCCCCCCUUCAGAGGCUUGACAAGGUCUUUACCUUGUCAAGUCUCUAUUCUGAAUAUCUAC
rnacentral:lncRNA from 12 species